AUUGAACGCUGGCGGCAGGCCUAACACAUGCAAGUCGAACGGUAACAGGAAACAGCUUGCUGUUUCGCUGACGAGUGGCGGACGGGUGAGUAAUGUCUGGGAAACUGCCUGAUGGAGGGGGAUAACUACUGGAAACGGUAGCUAAUACCGCAUAACGUCGCAAGACCAAGGAGGGGGACCCUCGGGCCUCUUGCCAUCGGAUGUGCCCAGAUGGGAUUAGCUUGUUGGUGGGGUAACGGCUCACCAAGGCGACGAUCCCUAGCUGGUCUGAGAGGAUGACCAGCCACACUGGAACUGAGACACGGUCCAGACUCCUACGGGAGGCAGCAGUGGGGAAUAUUGCACAAUGGGCGCAAGCCUGAUGCAGCCAUGCCGCGUGUAUGAAGAAGGCCUUCGGGUUGUAAAGUACUUUCAGCGGGGAGGAAGGGAGUAAAGUUAAUACCUUUGCUCAUUGACGUUACCCGCAGAAGAAGCACCGGCUAACUCCGUGCCAGCAGCCGCGGUAAUACGGAGGGUGCAAGCGUUAAUCGGAAUUACUGGGCGUAAAGCGCACGCAGGCGGUUUGUUAAGUCAGAUGUGAAAUCCCCGGGCUCAACCUGGGAACUGCAUCUGAUACUGGCAAGCUUGAGUCUCGUAGAGGGGGGUAGAAUUCCGGGUGUAGCGGUGAAAUGCGUAGAGAUCUGGAGGAAUACCGGUGGCGAAGGCGGCCCCCUGGACGAAGACUGACGCUCAGGUGCGAAAGCGUGGGGAGCAAACAGGAUUAGAUACCCUGGUAGUCCACGCCGUAAACGAUGUCGACUUGGAGGUUGUGCCCUUGAGGCGUGGCUUCCGGAGCUAACGCGUUAAGUCGACCGCCUGGGGAGUACGGCCGCAAGGUUAAAACUCAAAUGAAUUGACGGGGGCCCGCACAAGCGGUGGAGCGUGUGGUUUAAUUCGAUGCAACGCGAAGAACCUUACCUGGUCUUGACAUCCACGGAAGUUUUCAGAGAUGAGAAUGUGCCUUCGGGAACCGUGAGACAGGUGCUGCAUGGCUGUCGUCAGCUCGUGUUGUGAAAUGUUGGGUUAAGUCCCGCAACGAGCGCAACCCUUAUCCUUUGUUGCCAGCGGUCCGGCCGGGAACUCAAAGGAGACUGCCAGUGAUAAACUGGAGGAAGGUGGGGAUGACGUCAAGUCAUCAUGGCCCUUACGACCAGGGCUACACACGUGCUACAAUGGCGCAUACAAAGAGAAGCGACCUCGCGAGAGCAAGCGGACCUCAUAAAGUGCGUCGUAGUCCGGAUUGGAGUCUGCAACUCGACUCCAUGAAGUCGGAAUCGCUAGUAAUCGUGGAUCAGAAUGCCACGGUGAAUACGUUCCCGGGCCU
rnacentral:rRNA from 1 species